UCCUUGGUGGUCCAACGGCUAGGAUUGCCCGCUUUCACUAUUCUGCAUUUUCAGAUGUGUACCGGGCCGGCCCGGGUUCGACUCCCGGCCAGGGAA